UAAAACUUUUGGUUAAUAUUUUUAAAAAGAAAGAAAGAGAAGAAAGCUGGAGGGCGGUUGUCAGGGGCAGUGUAGGAGGAAGUGGGGAGUUAGUGUUUAACGGCUAAGGGGUUUCAGUUUUAGAAGGCAGAGUUCUGAGAUGGAUGUCAGGGUGCGCUGAUGCCCUGAACUGAGCAAACGGUUAGGAGGCAACGUUCUGGGUUACACAGUUCUUGUUUUAAAAUAGGAGAGGGGCUGAAGAGACAGCUCAGCCAGUGAGCGCUUGCAGAGGACCCAGGCUCAGUUCUGAGCACGCACACCGUGGCUCACGACUGCUCUUAGGUCUAGCUCCAGGGGACUCGACACCCUUUUCUGACCUCUACAGACACUAGGCAAAUACACACAGGGGCCAUCUCUCAUGAGUCUAUGGGUAGAAGCCACCUCGGGGUCAGGCAGAAUAGAGGAACCCCACAAAGGAAGUAGAAGAAAACCACCCAGGGCUCCAGGUCGGCUCAAGCCAACAUGCUGACAGUUUCCAGAACCUUCCUCACACCGGUCCUGUAAGUAGGUCUUGAUGCCACCAUCUUCAAAUGGUUCCUAUGAGAUCAGAGAAGAUUGCUGAAGGUCAUGCAACAGAAUUGCAAUUGAUAGACCACCUUCUUAAUGAACCACAGAACUGAAAGGAGACCACAAUGUGCCUGAGUUUGGAGCAAAGUUGAAAGACAAGGGUGAAAUUUCUUUUUUCCUCUCAAUUCAAGUUUUUUGUGGAUAUCAUUUGUAUAUACAAGGAUACCUUUUAAAGGAACCAAUAAAAUAAUUUUCCAUGCAAAGUAGCUUACGCUAAAUCAUAACUUGGUCUGCAGCAAAGCUGUCUGGGUUUAACUGGAAAGACAAAUGAGCCUGGCAAGUUUGCCAAGGCUGUGGCCCCAGGUCCCACUGAUGGAUGAUGGGCUGGAAGGCCUUCAGCACCAUCACCAUCACCACACUGUGAGUGAGCUGCCACCUCUUCCCUCUCUGCAUUCCCUCAAACGCAGCAACACCGACCAGAUGACCUCCCAGUUACUGGAUGCUACAAUUCAGGAACUAGGAAAGGUAACUUAAAGCUACAGGCUCAGACAUGCAGUCACUUCAGAGAACCUGGAGCUCAGCACUGAAUUCCAAGGAUGAGCAACACCCCCAGGGCCUGGCAGGGGUUAAAUUGUCUUUGUUUUUCAUCUCAGAGACUUGAAGUACUCCUGGAUAAAGAGGCCAUCUCCUCCAGGGAGAGAUGACUGCAGGUGUGAGUCUUAGCUAUCUGCCAACUCUCAAAGCCUCCAGGAUUCUCAAAACUAAAGCAACGAGUGACUGUAUUCAGAAUAACAUUUCUGAUCUAUGCUUGACUGACAGACCAGCUUCCGGUUGAGUAAGGGGGAAACUGCAACCAAACAC